ensembl:lncRNA
UGGUCACGCUGUUUGCAGACACAAACCUGAUGCCAUGCCGGAGGGAAACAGGUGGUGACGUCACCCUUUCCGCAAGGGACGCCAUCCCAGCCCCACUCACUACUACCUUCCAACAAAUGGGACACCUCAUCCACUAUCACUCCAGGGUUGCAGGGAACCUGGAGCCUAUCCCCGAGAUACGGAGCACAGGCAGGGGACACCCUGGACGGCGUGCCAAUCCAUUCCAGGGCACACUUACACACACAUUCACACACCCAUUCAUACAUUACGGACACGUUGGACAUGCCAAUCAGCCUACAAUGCAUGCCUUUGGACUUGGGGAGGAAACUGUGGUACCUGGAGGAAACCCCCGAGGCACAAGGAGAACAUGCAAGCUCCGCACACACAGGGCAGUGGCAGGAAUCGAACCCUCAACCCAGGAGGUGUGAGGCAAAUCUGAUACCCACUAAGCCACCCCCCAUAUCAGUACAUUUAAAUGUGAAAUAUUACUUGAGAUUUGCAACCAUACCUUUGAUAAUAACUUAAGCAACACUGAGAUUUAUUUGUUUGUUUGUUUGUUUGUUUUACCUAAACUGCUGUAGAUAUAGAUCUAUUGCACAUAAAAACUGUUGCUACAAAAAGUGCAAGGAACCAGGUUGCGCAAUAUUUGCCAUUUAUUUAGAAGAAACAAAACCACUAUACAGAGAUAAACUGUUAGUCGGGUCCUACUACACUUAGAGUAGUGACACUGUGAUAGUGUGACCACAGUUUAUGUGUUUAGAAAAAGUGACUAGUAAUAAAUAAAAUAAAUUGCACACAAACCAACAUUGGAGCCUGUUUUUUUAUGAAAGCAGUUGCUUAGUUAUUGUUAGUUCUCAUAGAUGCAUUCCUCUCUCUGAGUCUGCGUGAUUGUCUGUGGAAUAGGUCUGGUAGUACUGUUGAUAUUGUAUCUGGCACUAGGCUGAGCAUUUUGUGGACUUGGAUUUGGGUUGAUCGUAGCUGUGGAAAAAGAGAAGUUCUCGUAGAUUUUAUUUCUGUAGUAUGCAGUACCAUCUGCAGCAUGUCUUUUCUUACCUACCAAUUUACAUAUAGACAGACAGGUGGAGAGACAGACAGAAUUCACAAAAUACAUGUAUGUUAAUAGGAACUUGUCUGAAGCACUAGAAGUGGUAUAAAAAUACACCCCUUCUAGCAGAAGAGUAUAAAAACUUUAACAUUCAAUCUUAAGCAAGAUUUCAGCAAGACAAAACAGGGAGUUUAUGGGAAAGUUACAGGUUCCUUUUUAACAUGACCUAAGCUUUCAUGUGAACUGGAAAAAAACAUCUUUGCAACAGAAAUCAUUUCCCCCUAAAGAGCAGUGUACUCCAGUGUACUCCAGUGAAUGAUUUUUCAGUAUCAAACUUACGAAUCAUAUAUAAACUUAUGCUUCAGUUUUAUCGCCUUGACCUUAGAGUAGCAAGAUUGAAGUACAUUGUAAAAAUAUGACUGGUCUUGAAACAAAAUCAUUUUUUCCUCUAUAUACGUGGUUCAUAUGGUUAAUAAUUGAGAUGGCAUGACAUACUAAGUGUGAUAAGUAGUGAUUAGACUCACAUUUGAAGAUGGCUACACCAAGCAGAACGAGGAAAAGCAGCCCUGCACAUGUGCUGAUAACGGCAAUGAUCAGUAAUGAUGCCUCCUCAACCUUACAGCCCACUGAAACACACACGCACGCACACGCACACACACACACACGCACGCACACACACUCAGUGAAUCAAACUAUCAAAAUGUACAGCAUUACCAAAUGAGGUAGGCAGUGUUUUCUGUAUCUUCCC